UAUAUUUUGGUGUAAAGAUGCACAAAAACUUUUGAUGUUUUAAGUUAUAGUUUAAUUCUAUUUAAUAUAG
rnacentral:tRNA from 1 species